rnacentral:tRNA from 1 species
AGGAUAAUAGUUUAAAAUAAAACAUUUAAGUUGCAUUUAAAAAAUAUCAUUAAUGAUUUAUCUUA